CGGAGCGUGGCGCAGCUUGGUAGCGCACUUGACUGGGGGUCAAGGGGUCGUGGGUUCAAAUCCCGCCGCUCCGACCA
rnacentral:tRNA from 1 species